GUAGACGUCCUUCCAGCUAAUAGAUGGGUCCAAAGUGUUGGCCGGGAUCCCGUACUCCUCCGGUCCUGACGCUUCCUGAUGGAAGAGGACGUGAGAAAGGGGAGACACGGCGUCACUGUUACCAGUAAAGCACCAAAAGCAAAACAGCCCGGCCCCUCCAAGUCCCAACCAGUGCUGAGGACCAUAUCCAUCUAUGGUGAGAAAAGUAGAGCAGUCUUAUGGAACGUGUUAC